GACGAACGCUGGCGGCGUGCUUAACACAUGCAAGGCGAACGGAAAGGCCCUGCUUUUGUGGGGUGCUCGAGUGGCGAACGGGUGAGUAACACGUGAGUAGCCUGCCCUUGACUUUGGGAUAACGUCAGGAAACUGGGGCGAAUACCGGAUAGGAGCUCCGGCUGCAUGGGGGGGGUUGGAAAGGUUCGGCGGUUGGGGAUGGACUCGCGGCUUAUCAGCUUGUUGGUGGGGUAGUGGCUUACCAAGGCGUUGACGGGUAGCCGGCCUGAGAGGGUGACCGGCCACAUUGGGACUGAGAUACGGCCCAGACUCCUACGGGAGGCAGCAGUGGGGAAUAUUGCACAAUGGGCGGAAGCCUGAUGCAGCAACGCCGCGUGCGGGAUGACGGCCUUCGGGUUGUAAACCGCUUUCGCCUGUGACGAAGCGUGAGUGACGGUAAUGGGUAACGAAGCACCGGCUAACUACGUG
rnacentral:rRNA from 1 species